CAGGGCUGGGCUUCAUCAGCGUGUGGGAGGAAGGCACCAGCUAUCGAAGGCCCCACAAAGGAACAGCCACAAAGGAGCAAACACUUUUGACUUCGGCACAAGCCAACAGUGCAGCCAUGACAAAAGGGAAUAAAAAAGAAUAAAAGAGAAAUAACUCGCCUGAAGUGUGACCCCAGUGGGUCUCGGGCUGCCACCCUUGGCCUCCGGUUCUGUCAGCACCUUGGAUGACACUGAAAGCCUCAACUCCGCACCAGGCUAAGCGUCCCACCUGCGUGAGCUCCGAUCUGUCUGGGGUGACAAGGAAUGCCCUGCUCUGAGUCAGGAGCAUGGAAGUCUUUCAACCACUCUUCCCUGAGCACCUACUGUU